AGAACCGCAGGCGCUCGGCUGGCUAAGCCUGCGCCGGGCCGCCUCGCUCGCUCCCAGCUCUGUCAGUGGCCCGCGGGGCCCGAUCGCUGCGCCCGCGGCCAGGGCCGAGGCAGGCCUGACCCGGGGCCGGGCAGCCCGCGCGACUUUCGGAACAUGGCAACCCGUGUGUGUCUCAUCCCAGAAAGAGAAGACUUUAACCACUGUGAUGCCUGAGAAUCCAGUGUGACGUUUCUCCAGAUACUUCAUGCUGUUCACCUGUGUCCUCGCCACACCACUGCCGCACACGACUCCUGAACCAUGGGGGAAAACGAGGAUGAGAAGCAGGCCCAGGCGGGGCAGGUUUUUGAGAACUUUGUCCAGGCAUCCACGUGCAAAGGUACCCUCCAGGCCUUCAACAUUCUCACACGACACCUGGACCUAGACCCUCUGGACCACAGAAACUUUUAUUCCAAGCUGAAGUCCAAGGUGACCACCUGGAAAGCCAAAGCCCUGUGGUACAAAUUGGAUAAGCGUGGUUCCCACAAAGAGUAUAAGCGAGGGAAGUCGUGCACGAACACCAAGUGUCUCAUAGUUGGGGGAGGACCCUGUGGCUUGCGCACUGCCAUUGAACUUGCCUACCUGGGAGCCAAAGUGGUCGUGGUGGAGAAGAGGGACUCCUUCUCCCGGAACAACGUGCUACACCUCUGGCCUUUCACCAUCCAUGACCUUCGGGGCCUGGGAGCCAAGAAGUUCUAUGGGAAGUUCUGUGCUGGCUCCAUCGACCAUAUCAGUAUUCGCCAACUACAGCUCAUCCUAUUCAAGGUGGCCCUGAUGCUGGGAGUUGAAAUCCAUGUGAAUGUGGAGUUCGUGAAGGUUCUAGAGCCUCCUGAAGAUCAAGAAAAUCAAAAAAUUGGCUGGCGGGCAGAAUUUCUCCCUACAGACCAUUCUCUGUCGGAGUUUGAGUUUGACGUCAUCAUUGGUGCCGAUGGCCGCAGGAACACCCUGGAAGGAUUCAGAAGAAAAGAAUUCCGUGGGAAGCUGGCGAUUGCCAUCACCGCCAACUUCAUAAACAGAAACAGCACAGCGGAAGCCAAGGUGGAAGAGAUUAGUGGUGUGGCUUUCAUCUUCAAUCAGAAAUUUUUUCAGGACCUUAAAGAAGAAACAGGCAUAGAUCUUGAGAACAUUGUUUACUACAAGGACUGCACCCACUAUUUUGUAAUGACAGCCAAGAAGCAGAGCCUGCUCGACAAAGGUGUCAUCAUUAACGACUACAUCGACACAGAGAUGCUGCUGUGUGCGGAGAACGUGAACCAAGACAACCUGCUAUCCUAUGCCCGGGAAGCUGCAGACUUUGCCACCAACUACCAGCUGCCAUCCUUAGACUUUGCCAUGAACCACUAUGGGCAGCCUGAUGUGGCCAUGUUUGACUUUACCUGCAUGUAUGCCUCAGAGAACGCGGCCCUGGUGCGGGAGCGGCAGGCGCACCAGCUGCUCGUGGCCCUUGUGGGUGACAGCUUGCUUGAGCCAUUUUGGCCCAUGGGUACAGGCUGUGCCCGUGGCUUCCUGGCAGCCUUUGACACGGCAUGGAUGGUGAAAAGCUGGAACCAGGGCACCCCUCCCCUGGAGCUGCUGGCUGAAAGGGAAAGUCUCUACCGGCUGUUACCUCAGACAACCCCGGAGAACAUCAACAAGAACUUUGAGCAGUACACGUUGGACCCAGGGACACGGUACCCAAACCUCAACUCACACUGUGUCAGGCCCCAUCAGGUGAAGCAUUUGUAUAUCACUAAGGAGCUGGAGCACUACCCUCUCGAGAGACUGGGCUCGGUGAGGAGAUCUGUCAACCUCUCCAGGAAGGAGUCAGAUAUCCGGCCCAGCAAGCUCCUAACCUGGUGCCAGCAGCAGACAGAGGGCUACCAGCAUGUCAACGUCACCGACCUGACCACAUCCUGGCGCAGUGGGUUGGCCCUGUGUGCCAUCAUCCACCGCUUCCGGCCUGAGCUCAUCAACUUUGACUCUUUGAAUGAAGAUGAUGCUGUGGAGAACAACCAGCUCGCAUUUGAUGUGGCCGAGCGAGAGUUUGGGAUCCCUCCAGUGACCACGGGCAAAGAGAUGGCAUCUGCCCGGGAGCCUGACAAGCUCAGCAUGGUCAUGUACCUCUCCAAGUUCUACGAGCUCUUCCAGGGCACCCCACUGAGGCCCGUGGAUUCUUGGCGCAAAAACUAUGGAGAAAAUGCUGACCUCAGCUUGGCCAAAUCAUCCAUUUCUAAUAACUAUCUCAACCUCACAUUUCCAAGGAAGAGGACUCCACGAGUGGAUGGUCAAACCGGAGAGAAUGACAUGAACAAACGGAGGCGGAAGGGCUUCAAUAACCUGGACGAGCCUUCAAACUUUUCCAGCCGUAGCUUGGGCUCCAAUCAAGAGUGUGGGAGCAGUAAGGAAGGUGGAAAUCAGAACAAAGUCAAGUCCAUGGCGAAUCAGCUGCUGGCCAAGUUUGAGGAGAGCACUCGGAACCCCUCACUCAUGAAGCAGGAACGCCGUGUCUCAGGGAUAGGUAAGCCGGUCCUGUGCUCUUCCUCCGGCCCUCCUGUUCACUCUUGCUGCCCCAAGCCGGAGGAGGCCACACCCAGCCCAUCACCUCCUCUGAAAAGGCAGUUCCCCUCUGUGGUCGUGACGGGGCACGUGCUCAGAGAGCUCAAGCAAGUGUCUGCUGGCAGCGAGUGCCUGAGCAGGCCCUGGAGAGCCAGAGCCAAGUCUGACCUACAGCUGGGUGGGACAGAAAAUUUCGCUACCCUGCCUUCUACCCGCCCGAGGGCGCAGGCUCUUUCCGGGGUGCUGUGGCGGCUGCAGCAAGUGGAGGAAAAGAUUCUCCAGAAGAGGGCUCAGAACUUGGCCAACAGGGAAUUUCACACAAAGAACAUUAAGGAGAAGGCGGCUCACCUUGCCUCCAUGUUUGGACACGGGGAUUUCCCGCAGAAUAAACUACUCUCUAAAGGCCUGUCUCAUACUCAUCCUCCAUCUCCUCCCUCUCGCCUUCCGUCUCCUGAUCCAGCUGCUUCUUCCUCUCCAUCAACUGUUGACUCUGCUUCUCCUGCCAGAAAGGAAAAGAAGUCACCUUCAGGGUUCCAUUUUCAUCCCAGCCAUUUGAGAACAGUGCAUCCUCAGCUGACGGUAGGGAAAGUGUCCAGCGGAAUAGGGGCUGCAGCUGAAGUCCUGGUCAAUCUGUACAUGAAUGAUCACAGACCUAAGGCCCAGGCCACCUCUCCAGACCUGGAAUCUAUGCGAAAGUCAUUUCCCCUUAACCUGGGAGGCAGCGACACAUGUUACUUCUGUAAGAAACGUGUGUACGUGAUGGAACGGCUGAGCGCCGAGGGCCACUUCUUCCACCGGGAGUGUUUCCGCUGCAGCAUCUGUGCCACCACCUUGCGCCUGGCCGCCUACACCUUUGACUGCGAUGAAGGCAAAUUUUACUGCAAGCCUCACUUCAUUCACUGUAAAACCAAUAGCAAACAACGGAAGAGACGGGCAGAGUUGAAGCAACAAAGAGAGGAGGAGGCAACAUGGCAAGAGCAGGAAGCCCCUCGGAGAGACACUCCCACCGAAAGUUCUUGCGCAGUGGCCGCCAUUGGCACCCCAGAAGGCAGCCCCCCAGACCCUGCUCUCCUCUCAGCAGAUGAGCCCACCUCCCCCAAGAGGCCGAAGAGCAUCUCUGAGCCACAGCACAGUGAUGCGGAAGGGGACGCCGCCUCUCCCCUGCCCUCCGAGUGGACCUCAGUGAGGAUCAGCCCUGGGGAGGAAGCAGCUGGACAGGAUGUGCUGGCUGUGCGUGUCCUGGUCACCAGCGAGGACAGCAGCUCUGACACAGAGUCUGACUAUGGUGGCAGCGAGGCCUCCCACACAGAGCCCUGUGAAGAGAAACCCCGGCGGCCAGGAUCCCCACAUCUACCGCACACGUCCCUAGGGGAGGCCCUGAGCAGGGCGGUCUCUCCACAGUGCCCUGAGGAGCCCAGAGCUGUGCACGCAGCUCUGCAACGGGCCAAUAGCUUCCAGUCUCCAACCCCAAGCAAAUACCAGAACUGGAGGAGAGAAUUCUGGUGGAGUUUGACGCCAGUGAACAAAAGAACUAUGUCACCUCCUAAGGACCCUUCUCCUUCUCUUCCUCUUCCUUCAUUGUCUUCCCAUUCAUCUUCCCCACCAUCUUCUUCUUCAACCAGUGUUUCUGGGAAUGCUCCAGAUGGUUCCUCCCCGCCUCAGAUGACAGCUUCUGGGCCCCUCUCGCAAGUCUCGAGAGGUCAUCCAAGUCCUCCCACCCCAACCUUUCGGAGGCGAGCCAUAGCCCAAGGAGCACCCAGGGAAAUUCCCCUGUAUCUGCCUCAUCACCCAAAGCCAGAGUGGGCAGAGUACUGCCUGGUGAGCCCUGGUGAAGAUGGCCUCUCAGACCCUGCAGAGAUGACUUCUGAUGAGUGCCAGCCAGCAGAGGCCCCUCUUGGGGACAUCGGAAGCAACCACAGAGACCCACACCCCAUCUGGGGGAAGGACAGGAGCUGGACAGGCCAAGAGCUAUCUCCCUUGGCUGGAGAAGACCGGGAAAAAGGGAGUACUGGAGCCAGGAAGGAAGAAGAGGGAGGGCCAGUGCUGGCAAAGGAGAAGUUGGGCCUGAAGAAGUUAGUCCUCACUCAGGAGCAGAAGACCAUAUUGUUGGAUUGGAAUGACUCCAUCCCUGAGAGUGUGCACCUCAAAGCUGGGGAGCGACUUUCCCAGAAAAGUGCUGAGAAUGGUAGAGGAGGCCGUGUGCUAAAACCAGUCCGCCCCCUGCUGCUCCCUAGGGCAGCAAGAGAGCCCCUGCCAACCCAGAGAGGGGCUCAGGAGAAGAUGGGGACCCCUGCGGAACAAGCUCAGGGGGAGCGAAGCGUGCCUCCACCCAAGUCCCCACUGCGGCUCAUAGCCAAUGCCAUCCGAAGGUCUCUAGAGCCCCUCGUUUCCAACUCUGAAGGUGGGAAGAAGGCCUGGGCCAAGCAAGAAUCCAAAACUUUGCCCACACAGGCCUGCACUCGCUCAUUCAGCCUUCGGAAAACCAAUUCCAAUAAAGACAGGGACCAGCAUUCCCCUGGGAGAAACCAGUCCUCAGCCUUUAGCCCUCCUGACCCUGCCCUCCGCACCCACAGUUUGCCCAAUCGGCCAUCCAAGGUCUUUCCUGCACUUAGGUCCCCACCCUGCAGCAAGAUUGAAGAUGUCCCCACACUCCUCGAGAAAGUGAGUUUGCAAGAGAACUUCCCAGAUGCUUCUAAGCCUCCAAAGAAAAGAAUCUCACUUUUUUCCUCCCUCAGACUCAAAGACAAAUCUUUUGAGAAUUUCCUCCAAGAAUCCAGACAAAGAAAGGACAUCAGGGACCUCUUUGGCAGCCCCAAGAGGAAGGUGCUGCCUGAAGAUAGUGCGCAGGCCCUGGAGAAGCUGCUGCAGCCUUUCAAAAGCACCUCCCUGCGCCAGGCAGCUCCUCCUCCUCCUCCUCCUCCUCCUACAGCGGGAGGUGCAGACUCCAAGAACUUUCCCCUCAGAGCACAGGUAACAGAGGCUUCCUCUUCUGCCUCUUCAACCUCCUCCUCCUCUGCAGGUGAAGAAUUUGAUCCCCAGCUUUCCUUGCAGUUAAAGGAGAAGAAGACACUUAGAAGAAGAAAGAAGCUAGAAAAAGCAACGAAGCAGUUGGUUAAGCAAGAAGAAUUGAAAAGACUCUAUAAGGCUCAGGCCAUCCAGAGGCAGCUGGAGGAGGUGGAGGAGCGGCAGAGGGCUUCUGAGAUCCAGGGUGUGAGGCUGGAGAAGGCGUUGCGAGGAGAAGCAGUCAGCACUCCUCUGUGACCAAAUGUGGCACGAGCUUCCCUGCCCCAUGGAAGGAGCCACACGCCACCUGGGCACUCAGUAGGCAUUUGAUCUGGGGGAGAAAAAGAAGAAGGAAAUGAGGACCAGCAGCUAGGGUUGUCCUUGGUGAAGGAUGUGAUGCAUACACAUAUCAGAUUCAGGCACACAGGAUGAAGCACAGCUUUUGCAGGAAUGGUUUAAGCUGGUUCUGGAGAAGAAUAAAUUAAUGCGAUAUGAGUCGGAGCUCCUAAUCAUGGCCCAGGAACUGGAAUUAGAAGAUCAUCAAAGCAGACUGGAGCAGAAACUGAGAGAGAAAAUGCUCAAGGAGGAGAGCCAGAAAGAUGAGAAGGAUCUAAAUGAAGAGCAAGAAAUAUUCACCGAGCUGAUGCAAGUGAUUGAGCAAAGGGACAAACUCGUCGAUUCCUUAGAGGAACAACACAUCAGAGAAAAAGCCGAGGACCAGCACUUUGAAAGCUUCGUAUUCUCCAGAGGCUGUCAGCUGAGCAGGACUUGAGGAGGCCCGUAGUCCCUCUCCCUGGCUGCACGUUGGGACCGGAUCAGGCCAAGUGCACCACACACCCUCAUGGGUCUUUCUGCAGGAUUUAUCAUCCCUGGAACUUAAGUUAUACCUUACUGCAUUUUUUAAAAUUAAAAUUCUCUUGCACGCAUGGCAGCUUCCCAAGGUCCUUCCAGAGAUUCAAAUGAAGAAAACCCAAAGACUGUUUGGCAAUUGGCAGUCAACUUCAGCCAGGCUCUCAGACUGGAGGUGUUGUUGGCAGAUGACCAGCAUUGUUUUCCCUAGAAAGUGACACAAAGACUUGACUUUCCUGCUACUUUUAUCAUUUUCCUUCCCAAUUCAUUGAGUUACAUACUUUAAGAUUCUUGAGAAGCUGCCUUUUCAUUAAUAUGUCCAUAUUUGCCUUUUUUGUAUGGAUGACCAGUUUCCAAAUGUCAGAAAGAAGCAGCCGCAGUUUAAAGAUUAGGUUAAUAUUUAAAUUGUGUUUCCAGAGAAAGAGGAGAAACCUUGAGAUUACUGAUUACAUAAAGCAAAUAACUCAUAUAGCAGGUGUUAAUUCAAUCCAGGGUGAAUUUAAUUUACCAGGUGCAUUUAUAAGCCUUAAUAUAAUAUACAUAAGCAAUGAGAGCUUAAUAGAACAUUUGAGCCUUAAUUUUAUUUUAAGAAGAAAAGAAAAAAGGAAAUAAAACUUUAACUUUAUGCCAGUGGGAUUGUUAGUGUUCACCAAACACUGCUGGCUUAGAAAAGCUUUUCGUCCCCGUGCUAUGCUUUUUAUGGACCCUGGAAAAUAAUGAAAAGCAUUUUCAGAAAAUGAAUGAUUUUAAAGUACUUUUUAAAUAAGUGUUGAUGAUGGCAGAAAACAAAAGAGGGGAACUUCUUUUAUUUGUUGAUAAAAUAUUGGUGAGGUUGGUGCUGCUACUGAAACGGAACACACUAGGGUACAAGAGAAGGAAUGCUUCUUGCUGGUGCUCUUCUUAAAGAGAGAAGUAUCUCUCCCUCUCCCCAGGAACUCUACAGAGCAAGGACAAAACCACUUCUGACUUAGAGGGAGGGCUGAAUGCAGUGACCCUAUUUACCAAAUCCCAAACUGGGUCAUGAAUUUUUUUAAUGACAUUUCAGUUUGAAAAGAAAGCUGGAAGAUGGAGUUUGUGUGCUGACAUGUUGGAAUUCCUGGGGCAUUAUGAGGGUUCCCAUGGGGGCCAAAGAAGAGAAGAUUUAAUAUGGUGAUGUGUUGUCAUAAAACAUUUGAUUGUU